rnacentral:lncRNA from 1 species
UCAUUGGCCUGCCAGGGUCAUUAAGGACCCCGGGGUUGUCAUAGAAACGACCUUUGGGGCCCGGUGGUUGUUAAUGCAUGAGUGACUGCCUGCAUUGUGUGUUCCCGGAGAGGUCAGAGUCUUGUUGGUGGCUUAAGAAAGAAAGAAAGAAAGAGAGAGAGAGAGAGAGGAAGAAAGAGAGCCAGCACAAAGCCCAGAAUUGGACAGCUGACAUCCAGGAGGAAGGCUGUGUAAGAUGGUCCUGAUUGGCUGUCUAGGUUGGUGACUCUCUGCUGCCUGGCACCUAGUAGGUGCUUAAUAAAUGUCUGAAAAGGAAACAACAUCUUCCCAGACCACCGAGGAGACAGAAGUCUUAGGGAGUUUCCUAGGAUUACCAAGUCAUAAUGAUUCCACAAUAAAACACUUUAUCAUGCUGGGUCUAAACAUCCAAGAAAAGUGUCACUUGUGCGAGGGGAAGCUGGAAGCUGGAAGCUGGAAGGAGCCCGCUUCUCUAGAACCAGAACAAUUCCUGAGUCCGGUAAAGAAACUGAGAUCCACAAAGAUUAUGAAGUUCCGGAAGUGGAGAUGCUAAGGUUUAAGCUCAGUCCUUGGCCUUUUGUUUGCCAUACUGAGCCCUGAGUUCAGGUCAUC